rnacentral:rRNA from 1 species
UACGGAGGGUGCAAGCGUUAGUCCGGAUUUACUGGGUUAAAGGGUGCGUAGGCGGGUCUUUAAGUCAGGGGUGAAAUCCUGGAGCCUCAACUCCAAGAACUGCCUUUGAUACUGAGAUCUUGAGUUCGGGAGAGGUGAGUGGAACUGCGAAGUGUAGAGGUGAAAUUCGUAGAUAUUCGCAAGAACACCAGUGGCGAAAGGCGGCUCACCUGGCCCGAGUACUGACGCUGAGGCACGGAAAAGCGAUGGGGGAG